rnacentral:rRNA from 1 species
UCUAGUAUAGCAUCUAUACGGUGAAACUGCGAAUGGCUCAUUAAAUCAGUCAUAAUUUAUUUGAUAGUACCAUUCUACUUGGAUAACCGUGGUAAUUCUAGAGCUAAUACAUGCUAAAAACCCCGACUUCGGAAGGGGUGUAUUUAUUAGAUAAAAAACCAAUGCCCUUCGGGGCUCCUUGGUGAUUCAUGAUAACUUAACGAAUCGCAUGGCCUUGUGCCGGCGAUGGUUCAUUCAAAUUUCUGCCCUAUCAACUUUCGAUGGUAGGAUAGUGGCCUACCAUGGUUUCAACGGGUAACGGGGAAUUAGGGUUCUAUUCCGGAGAGGGAGCCUGAGAAACGGCUACCACAUCCAAGGAAGGCAGCAGGCGCGCAAAUUACCCAAUCCCGACACGGGGAGGUAGUGACAAUAAAUACUGAUGCAGAGCUCUUUUGGGUUUUGCAAUUGGAAUGAGUACAAUUUAAAUCCCUUAACGAGGAACAAUUGGAGGGCAAGUCUGGUGCCAGCAGCCGCGGUAAUUCCAGCUCCAAUAGCGUAUAUUAAAGUUGUUGCAGUUAAAAAGCUCGUAGUUGAACCUUGGGCCUGGCUGGCCGGUCCGCCUCACCGCGUGCACUGGUCCGGCCGGGCCUUUCCUUCUGGGGAGCCGCAUGCCCUUCACUGGGUGUGUCGGGGAACCAGGACUUUUACUUUGAAAAAAUUAGAGUGUUCAAAGCAGGCCUAUGCUCGAAUACAUUAGCAUGGAAUAAUAGAAUAGGACGUGUGGUUCUAUUUUGUUGGUUUCUAGGACCGCCGUAAUGAUUAAUAGGGAUAGUCGGGGGCAUCAGUAUUCAAUUGUCAGAGGUGAAAUUCUUGGAUUUAUUGAAGACUAACUACUGCGAAAGCAUUUGCCAAGGAUGUUUUCAUUAAUCAGUGAACGAAAGUUAUGGGAUCGAAGACGAUCAGAUACCGUCGUAGUCUUAACCAUAAACUAUGCCGACUAGGGAUCGGGCGAUGU